rnacentral:tRNA from 1 species
CCGUAGCCAAGUUGGCAAGGCACAGGACUGCAAAUCCUUCACCGCGGGUUCGAAUCCCACCGG